rnacentral:rRNA from 1 species
CUACGGGAGGCAGCAGUGGGGAAUCUUGGACAAUGGGGGAAGCCCUGAUCCAGCCAUGCCGCGUGAAUGAUGAAGGCCUUAGGGUUGUAAAAUUCUUUCAGCAGGGAAGAUAAUGACGGUACCUGCAGAAGAAGCCCCAGCUAACUCCGUGCCAGCAGCCGCGGUAAUACGGAGGGGGCUAGCGUUGUUCGGAAUUACUGGGCGUAAAGCGCACGUAGGCGGCUUGGAAAGUCAGAGGUGAAAGCCCAGGGCUCAACCCUGGAAUAGCCUUUGAAACUAUCAAGCUAGAGUUCGGGAGAGGUGAGUGGAAUUCCGAGUGUAGAGGUGAAAUUCGUAGAUAUUCGGAGGAACACCAGAGGCGAAGGCGACUCACUGGACCGAUACUGACGCUGAGGUGCGAAAGCGUGGGGAGCAAACAGGAUUAGAAACCCUAGUAGUCC